UCUUAGUGCCGCUCCGAUCCUAACAGAUGGAUCUUAAACUCUAAUACUCAGAUUUUACAGGCAUCAUGGGCCAUUGCAAUUAAUACUUCAAGACUACAAGUAGAAGUAGGUUAAUUGUCUUGAAUGUGCAAGAACGAGUCAUAUAUAUCCUAUUUUACAGGCAUCAGUGUUGGCUGAACUCUUCUCCCCUCCUCUCUGAAAUAAAUUAAAUGCAAGUGUUGCAUCUUCUACCUUCAUCUAAAGCCAUAAUCAUUCUGCAUAGUGCGUGAACGUCGUAGAAGGAUGAUCUUAUCCAACUCUAUGAUACAAGCUUAGCUAUUCAUCAGUUGCCAAAAGAAAUAUUCAAACUUUCUUUGACUUUAAAUUGCUAGUAUACAGUGAUAAGUUUGUGUGUGCAAGGAAAUAAACAAUUCGGAUGAUAAUGUCAAUAUAAUAUUUAUGUGAAAGAAGAAGAUUGGAAAGGACUACAGAAUAAUUGCAAGAAUUUGGAACUCAUAAUAAUCCAAUCAAAACAGGUGGUGAGUUUGGAUAUGUAUAUAAAACACUAAUAUUAGACAUUGUAAAAAAAGGGUUGC
rnacentral:lncRNA from 1 species